UGGUUCUGGCAUCGAUGAAGAACGCAGCGAAAUGCGAUAAGUAAUGUGAAUUGCAGAAUUCAGUGAAUCAUCGAAUCUUUGAACGCACAUUGCGCCCGCUAGCAUUCUGGCGGGCAUGCUUGUUCGAGCGUCCUCAAAAACCCUCGAGCCGGGCAGACCUAGGUCUGCGCGGCCCGGUGUUGGGGCGCCGCGGCUGCCGCGGCCCCCUAAAUCCAGUGGCGGACUCUCCCGAGGCCUUGACGUAGUAAUUUAUUAUCGUCUUCGGCCCCCGGGCGGGCCCUGCCCCUAAACCCAACUCUCCAAAUUGGACCUCGAAUCAAGUAGGAAUACCCGCUGA
rnacentral:misc_RNA from 1 species